CCUACGGGUGGCUGCAGUGGGGAAUAUUGGACAAUGGGCGAAAGCCUGAUCCAGCCAUGCCGCGUGUGUGAAGAAGGCCUUCGGGUUGUAAAGCACUUUCAGUGGGGAAGAAAGCCUUGGGGCUAAUACCCUCGAGGAAGGACAUCACCCACAGAAGAAGCACCGGCUAACUCCGUGCCAGCAGCCGCGGUAAUACGGAGGGUGCGAGCGUUAAUCGGAAUUACUGGGCGUAAAGCGCGCGAAGGCGGUCUGAUAAGCCGGUUGUGAAAGCCCCGGGCUCAACCUGGGAACGGCAUCCGGAACUGUCAGGCUAGAGUGCAGGAGAGGAAGGUAGAAUUCCCGGUGUAGCGGUGAAAUGCGUAGAGAUCGGGAGGAAUACCAGUGGCGAAGGCGGCCUUCUGGACUGACACUGACGCUGAGGUGCGAAAGCGUGGGUAGCAAACAGGAUUAGAUACCCUGGUGGUC
rnacentral:rRNA from 1 species